UGCCCUUGUUCACUCAUUUAAAUCCACGACAUUUAUGUGCUUUAGCUUUCAACUUAUGCAUGUACCAACUCAUUUGGAAAAAUCUAUGAAAUACGUGUCUGCAUCUAAUUGACCUAAUAUCCUUCCCUUUACCGAAUAUUUGGGUAGGUUUAGUUACUGUCUUCUCUUUAUGUCAUGUCACUGCUUAAACCUUUCAUUUUGUUAAUACAUAAUAAAGGCCAAUAUUUUCAGAGGCCUGUGUUGCAAGGGACCAUUUUGUGUCCUUGGUAGUAGAACUAAACUUUCUAGGGAAACAGAACUUGUGUUUCAUGAACUCUUAUUAGAACAAUGUGACACAGAUUUGUCACUUUGCCAUAUAGUCCCUAUUAUAACAGUGGUCGGAUGCAGCAACAAAGUAUUAAUCACAGCAGGUUUUAGCAAGAUUGAGCAUAGUGAAGCUUAUUCUUGUCAACAGAAGGAACAAUUAGUGCCAUGUGGAGAGAUCUAUGAUAUCAAGAGGGAGGUUGGAUUGAGAAAGAGAGAUUAUGGAAGUGGUAUAAAAGAGGCAGGAUCCAACACCAGAACAAGGCUGAAUCUAUGAGAGUACAAACAAAGACUGAAGAAAUGUAAAUUUCUUCAAACCAACAAACAAAGACUGAAGAAAUGCGAAUGUCUUCAAACCAGGACAGUUCAGCCUACAUUUGGACAGUGGAAUAUAUCCUCUGAGCAAAGGGGAACACAUUUUCCUCACAUAUGUUCAACUAAUGGAUCUCUUGUGACAAAGUCCCCAUUUCUUGUGUUUUUGAGGUUUGGAUGAGUUGAGUGCCUGGCUUCAUACUGUAGUCAAGACUCGUACCUGAGUCAGUGAAA